rnacentral:rRNA from 1 species
AACGAACGCUGGCGGCAUGCCUAACACAUGCAAGUCGAACGAGACCUUCGGGUCUAGUGGCGCACGGGUGCGUAACGCGUGGGAACCUGCCCUUAGGUUCGGAAUAACUCCCCGAAAGGGGUGCUAAUACCGGAUAAUGUCUUCGGACCAAAGAUUUAUCGCAUUUGGAUGGGCCCGCGUUGGAUUAGCUAGUUGGUAGGGUAAAAGCCUACCAAGGCUACGAUCCAUAGCUGGUCUGAGAGGAUGAUCAGCCACACUGGGACUGAGACACGGCCCAGACUCCUACGGGAGGCAGCAGUGGGGAAUAUUGGACAAUGGGCGAAAGCCUGAUCCAGCAAUGCCGCGUGAGUGAUGAAGGCCUUAGGGUUGUAAAGCUCUUUUACCCGGGAUGAUAAUGACAGUACCGGGAGAAUAAGCUCCGGCUAACUCCGUG